GACAGAGGGUGCAAACGUUGCUCGGAAUUACUGGGCGUAAAGCGCGUGUAGGUGGCUUGGUGUGUCAGAUGUGAAAUCCCUGGGCUCAACCCAGGAACUGCACCUGAAACUACCAGUCUUGAGUGGUGGAGAGGGAAGUGGAAUUCCUGGUGUAGAGGUGAAAUUCGUAGAUAUCAGGAGGAACACCAGUGGCGAAGGCGGCUUCCUGGACACCAACUGACGCUGAGACGCGAAAGCGUGGGGAGCAAACAGG
rnacentral:rRNA from 1 species